GACGAACGCUGGCGGCGUGCUUAACACAUGCAAGUCGAACGGAAAGGCCCUGCUUUUGUGGGGUGCUCGAGUGGCGAACGGGUGAGUAACACGUGAGUAACCUGCCCUUGACUUUGGGAUAACUUCAGGAAACUGGGGCUAAUACCGGAUAGGAGCUCCUGCUGCAUGGUGGGGGUUGGAAAGUUUCGGCGGUUGGGGAUGGACUCGCGGCUUAUCAGCUUGUUGGUGGGGUAGUGGCUUACCAAGGCUUUGACGGGUAGCCGGCCUGAGAGGGUGACUGCCACAUUGGGACUGAGAUACGGCCCAGACUCCUACGGGAGGCAGCAGUGGGGAAUAUUGCACAAUGGGCGGAAGCCUGAUGCAGCAACGCCGCGUGCGGGAUGACGGCCUUCGGGUUGUAAACCGCUUUCGCCUGUGACGAAGCGUGAGUGACGGUAAUGGGUAAAGAAGCACCGGCUAACUACGUG
rnacentral:rRNA from 1 species